UAUGCUGCAUACAGCCUGGGAAAAGUGUACUGCUGGGCUUCUUUCUGCCUUAGAAGUCCCUCGCAGACAUGCCCAACAACAAAGGGAAAGCAGAUACAGAAAAGCUGAGUGUGUGUUGGAUGCCAGAACGCAUUGUCUGCAACACCAGAACCUUUGCUGAAACUCAUGAACUCUGUGAAGACAGACAACUGACUGAACAAAAUAUAAAUCCAGUCAGAAGUGACAAUAAAAUACUUGUCAUGGAGACAGAAGCAAUGUUUAAGAGAAGCAGCCUUCAGGAUUGAAAAGCAGUCUCACUGUCUCCUCCAAAACUCAGCGGGUGGAGAUAUCAGCCAUCUUGAUUGGUGAUGUGUUCAGUCUGGAUUUGAUCACCCCGAGUGCUUUCUGCUUAUCAG